GGCCCUCUAGCUCAGUGGUGUAGAGCGCUCCCCUUCAAUGGGAAAGGUGCUAAGUUCGAGACAUGCUGGCAGUCA